rnacentral:rRNA from 1 species
GACGAACGCUGGCGGCGUGCCUAAUACAUGCAAGUAGAACGCUGAAGGAGGAGCUUGCUUCUCUGGAUGAGUUGCGAACGGGUGAGUAACGCGUAGGUAACCUGCCUGGUAGCGGGGGAUAACUAUUGGAAACGAUAGCUAAUACCGCAUAAUAGUAGAUGUCGCAUGACAUUUGCUUAAAAGGUGCAAUUGCAUCACUACCAGAUGGACCUGCGUUGUAUUAGCUAGUUGGUGAGGUAACGGCUCACCAAGGCAACGAUACAUAGCCGACCUGAGAGGGGGAUCGGCCACACUGGGACUGAGACACGGCCCAGACUCCUACGGGAGGCAGCAGUAGGGAAUCUUCGGCAAUGGACGGAAGUCUGACCGAGCAACGCCGCGUGAGUGAAGAAGGGUUUCGGAUCGUAAAGCUCUGUUGUAAGAGAAGAACGAGUGUGAGAGUGGAAAGUUCACACUGUGACGGUAUCUUACCAGAAAGGGACGGCUAACUACGUG